GGCCCGCUGGCCAAAUGGUAAGGCGCCACAUUUCGGAUUCAGUUCUGUGGAGAUUAUGCGUUCGAGCCGCAUGUGGGUCG